GGUGGCUCAGUGCUAGAGUGCUUGCAUUGCAUGCAUGAGGCCCUGGGUUUGAUUCUCAGCACCA
rnacentral:tRNA from 1 species